CCCCCCCCACCCCCCCCCCCCGCCGCCCAUGAAGUACGAGGGAGAUUAUUCAAAUGCGGCCACCAUCAGUGCCGCAGGACUAAGGAGCUUCUCCGUUCCUCCCAGCAGCCCCAUGACAUAGAACUGUCGUCACCACCAUGCCGCAGUUGGACAGUCUGGGCACAGAGCGGUUAGACGUCUGCCUCCACGCGGGGAAACACACCCCGCCAACACCCGCUUCCGUGUGCAUGGCUGAGUUUCUCCCACGUGGACCCACCACCAGAGUCAUUCUCUUAGGCUUCAUCCCCUCUACGCCCGCCAAAAACAAGAAGGAGCUGUUUGGAGAACCCAGACAUGCUGAAUGAGCAGGGACCUGGGAGGCUGCAGCUUGGUUGGAAGGGACGCGUGACUAGGGGAAUGGUCAUGAAGCUGCAUUUGCAGCGCGAGCUCACUUUUUACAGAGGCUGUUGGCUGUUAGUUUGACGAGGGGUACUUUGUUGAAAAUUGAGGGGAGCUGAACCCCUGGAAGCCCCCUCUUGGCACCACUACUGCCUGAUGAGGUACUGGCAGGGGUGAGGGGGGCAGGAAGGGGUCAGGGAGAUUCUAGGGAAGGAAGUACCACCCGCCGGGGGCCCUGGCGUGGAUGGAAGGCUGCACAUUUUGUAUUCAAGGAAACAAGGCUUCACUGUGCCAGCCGAGCCCAGCCCAGCCGAGUCCUGCCUGUGAACAGCCAACAGACGGGCUCUCAUGGAAGACAAAACUCGCGUUCUGCUUCUGCUGUCCAAGAGGUGCUGCAGCCUCCUGGGUCCAAGCAGGGCCCAAGGAUCACAGCCAGGGCUCUGCUGGGACACUUCCACCCUGAUCUGCAGCUCCCAUGGCAGAGGGGAGGGGAGCCUGGCCCCCCUGGGAAUCCAUCCCCCAGAGAGAGUGCAGGAGAUGGGAGAGGGCAGAGGGAGCUGGGAGCUGGACUUGUCUUGGAGGCCAGGAGCUAGGAAGUGGGGCUUUGUCCUGGCUCUGCCACUCAGUUACCUAGUCUGCCUGCCCCCUCUGGGCCUCAGUCUUCCCAUCUGUGAAAGGAGCAUGAUGUAUCUGAUGAUUCCCAAAGGUGAUUCACCAAUGACUUCCUUAGUUCUGAGUCGUCCAGAACCCUCCCGGAUGGCAGAACUGCCUUCCAGGGUCUUCCAGUUCAUCCAUUCAGUGAUCAUCAGCAGAUACUUCCUAAGGAUGGAGAUGGAGGGAGAAGAGAGGGGGCAGAGGGAAGGUAGACGGGCUUUCCGUCAUCGCUGACCUCACGCUGCUGGUAGUUUCCAUCUGGGAGAGACCUCCGGCGUUGUCACCAAUGCUUCUCCCCCAUUUUACAGAAGAGGAAACUGAGGCCCAGGAAGGUGUAGUGACAUUCCUGGGGAGGUUUUCAGUGGCUGAACCAGAGCAUCCUUAUCUAUACAGUGGGAAAAGCGGUCCCUGCUUCUCGAGGUGGGGCGGGGGGAGGUGAUGCACGCAGAGCUCUGGCAAGGUGCCAGGCACCUGGAGGCACCUGGACUCUCAGUCCUUCCUCCUCUUGCAGCCUCAGGCUGCACCCCUCACCUCUAAUCCGACCCUCUGCCCUCCUCUGCCUGCCCAUCCAUCCAGGGCUGCUCUGGAACCCUCCAGGCAAGGGGCAGCCACCUCUGGCCUGGCAACAGCCUGCGUGGGGCUCUGCAGGGUGAUGUAAGCCGAGACCUGCCAGGGAGGAAGGCAGCCAUGUAAUUCUGAACCUGCCGUGGAAUCCGAGGAAGAUGUCCUAGUUCCCUGCCCUGCCCAGCCUCGUCCCCAGCCACUUCAUCUCAUGACCCCUUGCGUCAGAGAAGAGGGGGGCUUCCCUCUCUCCUUCCCACCUUGCCCUCCCCUCCUCUCCACCUGCUACGCCUCCCUGGUGUCGCCCUAGGCUCCUGCAGCUCACAGCAGCACCACCGCCUCGUCCUUCCUGGAGGGCUGUCUGGUGCAGUGGUUAAGGGCAGGGCCUUUAGAGUCAGCCGCCCUGGGUUGGAAUCCCAGCCUUGGGCCCUGGGGCAAGGCACGUAAACCCUUCUGAGCCCCGGUUCCUCACCCUGGAACAGGGAGAAUAACAGAACCCACCUCACAAGGUUGUGACGAAGUGCCUGGCACAAAAUAAGUACUUUCCAGGUUCCUGUCGCCACCAUCCCCAGCCCUGGUGGUGGCGCCUAGCACGGAGAUUCCUCCACAGAAGCCACUGGCUGACUCUACCUACCCCCAUGGAGCUGCCCGGCCUGCCAGACUGGCAAGAACCCUCUUGCUUUGGGCCGGAGUGACGGGGACCCAGCAUGAGAACCUUCUUUCCCUCCUGCUGAACCGACACUUUCAUUGACGGCUACAUAUGGCUUUGAUAAAUAACAAAAAUGGGAAACCGAAUUCAUGAUCACUUAACUACGUGGAAGGCAGGUGGCAGAAAAAAGGGCAGCGCAGACAGCAGCCCUGGGAUGACACAAAACUAGGACUCCAGUGCCCGUCUGCCACCGCCCGGACGGGGUGCUCUGCUUCUCAGCGCCUGUUUCCCCUGGGGCUAAAGAACCUGCCUGGUAAAGUCCUGAGGAUUAAGUUUUAAAAAGUCCUAGGGAAUUCCCUGGAGGUCCAGUGGUUAGGACACCGCCCUUUCACUGCCAAGGGCCCACGUUCAAUCCCCGGUCGGGGAACCGACACGCCUGACCGUGCGGCCAAAAAAAAAAAAAGUCCUGAGCCUUUGUAGAGAGCCCACCAUUGUGUCUGGUCUGUGGGCUAUUAAAAACAUAGAUGAUGAUUUUGAAAAGCUUAAAGUCCAUUCCUUUGAUCAUAUUUUAUUAAGUUUCUGUGUGCAAGGUCCAGAGAAUUAAGGGAAAAAUAGAGUUCCUGCCCUCAAGAAGCUUAAAGUCUCACGGAGAGCAGUGGCAUAGAGGGGUGGGUCUUUGGGGGGAUAGAGAGGAUGGGCCCACCGGGCUGGAAACGGCAGGUUCCAUUUCUUUAUUUCUAUGACGAGGACUGAAGUUCUCCUGAGGGAUGCCGUGCCGCCGGCCCUCCACAGCCAGCCCCCCGCCGCCACACCCUCUCCUUGUUAAAUGGGACCGCCAGGCCCAAUGGAGCCUGGUGUGUUAUUUCAGGAACUGAACUUCAUCCUCACACCAGCCCAGGGAGGUGGGUGCUGUCAUUAUCCCCAUUUGCCAGAUGAGGAAAGCAAGGCUCAAGGUUAUAAUAAGUGGCAGGGCCAGGAUUAGAACCAGGUCUGCCUACUGGGAGCUCCCGAGGCCAAGUGAGGGCUGCGUUUAUGGGAAAGGAGGAGUCCCAGAGCCUAGGCGGGGGGUGAGGGGGUGAGGGGGGAGGUCCUCUGGGGGUUCAGAGGUUGGGUCCUUCCCCCUGCAGCAGCCAGGAGCUUGCCUUUCUGGGGAGAAGCCCCACACCCCUGGGGAGGGAGGAUUUCCUGGCCUCAGGCCUGUCCUCUGCUCUCCUACUUCCCUUCUGAUUCUGAGUCACCUCUCCUUUCCGUCCCCCCAGGGACUUUCGGUUCCCUUUUGGUUUGCACCUUCCUGCCUUCUCUCCUCUGUGCCUCUGGGUUCAGGGCCUGGUUUCGGCUGUAGGAGACCCAGCCCUGCUGCCUAGGGCCCUUUCUGCAGGGCCAGCCCAGCCAGGAGCAGAGUCGCCCUGUGGCCUCAGCAGGGACAGUCCCCACAUCCUCCAUCAGCCGAGUUCCCUCUGACUGCCCAGCAGCCUGCUCCUCGGCAGACUUCUGCUUUUCAAGGUCUCUAGAGAAGCGAGGGUUCCAGGCCAGAAAGGUGCAGCCUGACGGAGCCGGGCCCAGGGACGCCUGAGCUGUGUGCAGACAGAGGGCUGCUGUGGCAUCUCCAUUGCAGGCACUUUGCCUCUUGUUUAAUCCUGUCUCGGCAUCCUGGAAGAUGAUCAUCACCCCUUUCAUAGAUAAGAAGACCGGGUCUCAGAGAGGGUUCCAUGACUUGAGGAGUGGAGACAGGAUUUGAACGAGGGUCCUUCUGACUCCCACGUCCCUUUCUCCCAUGGGACCCGAAGAGAGCAGCGUCAGUGUCCGCCAGGAGCUUGUUAGAAAGCUCAGAGGCUCAGGCUCCACCCCAGGCCUACUGGGUCAGAAUCUGCUUCCCC